rnacentral:rRNA from 1 species
UACAGAGGAGCCAAGCGUUGUCCGGAUUGACUGGGCGUAAAGCGCACGCAGGCGGUUUGGCGCGUGGGGUGUGAAAUCUGGCCGCUUAACGGCCAGGCGCCAUCCCAUACGGCCGGGCUGGAGGGCUGCAGAGGUCGAUGGAAUUGCCGGUGUAGUGGUGAAAUGCGUAGAGAUCGGCAGGAACACCCAGGGGGAAACCAGUCGACUGGGCAGCACCUGACGCUGAGGUGCGAGAGCGUGGGGAGCGAACCGG